UACGGAGGGUGCAAGCAUUAAUCGGAAUUAUUGGGCGUAAAGGGCGCGUAGGCGGAUGUGUAAGUCAGAUGUGAAAUUCCAAGGCUCAACCUUGGAGCUGCAUUUGAAACUACACAUCUAGAGGAUUGGCGGAGAAAAUGGAAUUCCACAUGUAGCGGUGAAAUGCGUGGAUAUGUGGAAGAACACCGGUGGCGAAAGCGAUUUUCUAGCUUAUUCCUGACGCUGAGGCGCGAGAGCAAGGGGAGCAAACAGG
rnacentral:rRNA from 1 species